GUGCUCGCUUCGGCAGCACAUAUACUAAAAUUGGAAUGAUACAGAGAAGAUUAGCAUGGUCCCUGUGCAAGAAAUUCAGUCUACCUAGCAGUUUGAAAGCAAAAUAU
ensembl:snRNA U6 U6 spliceosomal RNA